AGAACGAACGCUGGCGGCAUGCCUAAUACAUGCAAGUCGAACGAACUCUUCGGAGUUAGUGGCGCACGGGUGCGUAACGCGUGGGAAUCUGCCCCUUGGUUCGGAAUAACAGUUGGAAACGACUGCUAAUACCGGAUGAUGACGAAAGUCCAAAGAUUUAUCGCCAAGGGAUGAGCCCGCGUAGGAUUAGCUAGUUGGUGAGGUAAAGGCUCACCAAGGCAACGAUCCUUAGCUGGUCUGAGAGGAUGAUCAGCCACACUGGGACUGAGACACGGCCCAGACUCCUACGGGAGGCAGCAGUAGGGAAUAUUGGACAAUGGGCGCAAGCCUGAUCCAGCCAUACCGCGUGGGUGAAGAAGGCCUUGGGUUGUAAAGCCCUUUU
rnacentral:rRNA from 1 species